UACGGAGGGUGCAAGCGUUAUCCGGAUUCACUGGGUUUAAAGGGAGCGCAGGCGGAUUUGUAAGUCAGUGGUGAAAGGCUUAAGCUUAACUUGGGAACUGCCAUUGAUACUAUAAGUCUUGAAUGUUGUUGAGGUUCGCGGAAUGGGUCAUGUAGCGGUGAAAUGCAUAGAUAUGACCCGGAACACCUAUUGCGAAGGCAGCAGGCUAAACAAAUAUUGACGCUGAGGCUCGAAAGCGUGGGGAUCAAAACAGG
rnacentral:rRNA from 1 species